AUAUCAUGGAAAUCAGGACAGUGGCAGUUGGGAUUGUGGCAAUCAAAGGGGUGGAAAGUGAAUUCUAUCUUGCAAUGAAUGAGGAAGGAAAACUCUAUGCAAAGAAAGAAUGCAAUGAAGAUUGUAACUUCAAAGGACUAAUUCUGGAAAACCAUUACAACACAUAUGCCUCAGCUAAAUGGACACACAAUGGAGGGGAAAUGUUUGUUGCCUUAAAUCAAAAGGGGAUUCCUGUAAGGAAAAAAAAUGAAGAAAGAACAAAAACAGCCCACUUUGUUCCUAUGGCAAUAACUUAA
rnacentral:lncRNA from 1 species